GACAGAGGUGCCAAGCGUUAGGCGGAAUCACUGGGCUUAAAGCGUGUGUAGGCGGCUCGUUUAGUACCUUGUGAAAUCCCACGGCUCAACCGUGGAACUGCUCGGUAUACUGGCGGGCUUGAGCCAUCUAGGGGCUACCGGAACAAAUGGUGGAGCGGUGAAAUGCGUAGAUAUCGGGAGGAACACCAGUGGCGAAGGCGGCUACCUGGCACAUAACUGACGCUGAUACGCGAAAGCGUGGGGAGCGAACCGG
rnacentral:rRNA from 1 species